UGCUGGUGGACCCAGAGGUGGGCGAGGAUGCACCCACUCUUCUUGUGGAGAGCCUGGAGGAGCUGCCUGCUACACCCCUGGGAGGAGAUGAAGACGAUGAGGAGGAUGAAGAUGAUGUGGCGGAGGGAGACGUGAAUGUGUUGGUAGAGCAACCUGAACCCAAAGAGGACACCUCUCUGGGCCAUGAAGUUUGGAAGAUCGGAGCAAUUGCUGCAGCUUUCUUCCUUGUUCUUCAAACCAUCGUAACGAUCGUGUACAUCCUAAAAUGCAGAAAAAGACCAAGCAGUUCUAUUGCUCCUGAGAGAGCAUGUGAGG
ensembl:lncRNA